ACUCCUACGGGAGGCAGCAGUGGGGAAUUUUGGACAAUGGGCGAAAGCCUGAUCCAGCAAUGCCGCGUGUGUGAAGAAGGCCUUCGGGUUGUAAAGCACUUUUGUCCGGAAAGAAAUCCUAGGCUCUAAUACAGUCGGGGGAUGACGGUACCGGAAGAAUAAGCACCGGCUAACUACGUGCCAGCAGCCGCGGUAAUACGUAGGGUGCGAGCGUUAAUCGGAAUUACUGGGCGUAAAGCGUGCGCAGGCGGUUUGCUAAGACCGAUGUGAAAUCCCCGGGCUCAACCUGGGAACUGCAUUGGUGACUGGCAGGCUAGAGUAUGGCAGAGGGGGGUAGAAUUCCACGUGUAGCAGUGAAAUGCGUAGAGAUGUGGAGGAAUACCGAUGGCGAAGGCAGCCCCCUGGGCCAAUACUGACGCUCAUGCACGAAAGCGUGGGGAGCAAACAGGAUUAGAAACCCUGGUAGUCCC
rnacentral:rRNA from 1 species